UACAGAGGGCGCAAGCGUUAAUCGGAAUUACUGGGCGUAAAGCGCGCGUAGGUGGUUUGUUAAGUUGGCUGUGAAAGCCCCGGGCUCAACCUGGGAACUGCAUCCAAAACUGGCAAGCUAGAGUACGGUAGAGGGUGGUGGAAUUUCCUGUGUAGCGGUGAAAUGCGUAGAUAUAAGAAGGAACACCAGUGGCGAAGGCGACCACCUGGACUGAUACUGACACUGAGGUGCGAAAGCGUGGGGAGCAAACAGG
rnacentral:rRNA from 1 species